rnacentral:rRNA from 1 species
AACGAACGCUGGCGGCAGGCUUAACACAUGCAAGUCGAACGCCCCGCAAGGGGAGUGGUAGACGGGUGAGUAACGCGUGGGAAUCUACCCAUCCCUACGGAACAACUCCGGGAAACUGGAGCUAAUACCGUAUACGCCCUUUGGGGGAAAGAUUUAUCGGGGAUGGAUGAGCCCGCGUUGGAUUAGCUAGUUGGUGGGGUAAAGGCCUACCAAGGCGGCGAUCCAUAGCUGGGCUGAGAGGAUGAUCAGCCACAUUGGGACUGAGACACGGCCCAAACUCCUACGGGAGGCAGCAGUGGGGAAUAUUGGACAAUGGGCGCAAGCCUGAUCCAGCCAUGCCGCGUGAGUGAUGAAGGCCUUAGGGUUGUAAAGCUCUUUCACCGAUGAAGAUAAUGACGGUAGUCGGAGAAGAAGCCCCGGCUAACUUCGUGCCAGCCGCCGCUGUAACAC